CAUGCAGUCGACGAAGUAGCAAUACUUAGUGGCAAACGGGUGAGUAACAUGUGGGUAUCUGCCCUUCGGCCUGGAAUAACACGGGGAAACUUGUGCUAAUACCAGAUAAGUCUUUUAAGAGAAAGCUUUAUGCACCGAUGGAUGAGCCCGCACCUGAUUAGUUAGUUGGUGAGGUAAUAGCUCACCAAGACAAUGAUCAGUAGCUGAUUUGAGAGGAUGAUCAGCCACAUUGGGACUGAGACACGGCCCAAACUCCUACGGGAGGCAGCAGUGGGGAAUCUUGCACAAUGGGGGAAACCCUGAUGCAGCGAUGCCGCGUGAGUGAAGAAGGCCUUUGGGUUGUAAAGCUCUUUCGUCGGGGAAGAAAAUGACUGUACCCGAAUAAGAAGGUCCGGCUAACUUCGUGCCAGCAGCCGCGGUAAUACGAAGGGACCUAGCGUAGUUCGGAAUUACUGGGCUUAAAGAGUUCGUAGGUGGUUAAAAUAGUUGGUGGUGAAAUCCCAGAGCUUAACUCUGGAACUGCCAUCAAAACUUUUUAGCUAGAGUAUGAUAGAGGAAAGUAGAAUUUCUAGUGUAGAGGUGAAAUUCGUAGAUAUUAGAAAGAAUACCAAUUGCGAAGGCAGCUUUCUGGGCCAUUACUGACACUGAGGAACGAAAGCAUGGGUAGCGAAGAGGAUUAGAUACCCUCGUAGUCCAUGCCGUAAACGAUGUGUGCUAGACGUUGGAAAAUAUUUAUAUAUCAGUGUCGCAGCAAAAGCGAUAAGCACACCGCCUGGGGGAGUACGACCGCAAGGUUAAAACUCAAUGAAAUUGACGGGGACCCGCACAAGUAGUGGAGCAUGUGGUAUUAAUACGGAAGAUACGCGCAGGAGCCUUUACCCACACUAUGACAUGUAUCGUCGCAGCUCUAAGAGAUUAGAGUAUAUCGGUUCCGGCCGACGAAACACAGUGCUUGCAUGCCUGUCGUCAGCUCGUGUCGUGAGAUGGUAUGGGCUUAAGAUCCGCAACGAGCGCAGCCCUCACUAUUAG
rnacentral:rRNA from 1 species